CCUACGGGUGGCUGCAGUAACGAAUCUUCCGCAAUGCGCGAAAGCGUGACGGGGUAAUGCCGCGUGCAGGAUGAAGCCCUUCGGGGUGUAAACUGCUGUCAGGGGUUAGGAAUACAUGACCAGCCCCAAAGGAAGAGCCGGCUAACUCUGUGCCAGCAGCCGCGGUAAUACAGAGGGCUCAAGCGUUAAUCGGAAUCACUGGGCUUAAAGCGUGCGUAGGCGGAUCUUCAGGCCCGUUGUGAAAUCCCACGGCUCAACCGUGGAACAGCGACGGGAACCGGAGAUCUUGAGUCAGGUAGAGGCAGGUGGAACGAUAGGUGGAGCGGUGAAAUGCGUAGAUAUCUAUCGGAACGCCAAAGGUGAAGACAGCCUGCUGGGCCUGUUCUGACGCUGAGGCACGAAAGCGUGGGUAGCAAACGGGAUUAGAUACCCGUGUAGUC
rnacentral:rRNA from 1 species